CAGACCCUCCCUCCCAGACCCUCCCACCUCCUGGACAGCUCACUAAGAAUGCAGCUUCAAAUGGAUGCUGUCCAGGAGGUGGGAGGGUCUGGGAGGGAGGGUCUG